GGGAUGUAGCUCAGUUGGUAGAGCACUUGGUUCGCAAUCAAGGGGUCGCGGGUUCGAAUCCCGUCUUCUCC
rnacentral:tRNA from 1 species